rnacentral:tRNA from 1 species
UAGGGUGUAACUUAAUAAUAGAGUGCUUGCUUAGCAUGCAAAAGGCCUUGGGGUUUAAUUCCCAACACUGGAA